rnacentral:rRNA from 1 species
CAUGCAAGUCGAACGGUAGAAUCCUUUCGGGGAUUUGAGAGUGGCGAACGGGUGAGUAACGCGUAGGUUAUCUGCCUUCAAAUGGGGGACAACCCAGGGAAACCUGGGCUAAUACCGCAUGUGUCCGGUAACGGAUAAAGAUGGCUUUAUGCUGUCGUUUGAAGAUGAGCCUGCGUCCUAUUAGCUAGAUGGUGGGGUAAAAGCCUACCAUGGCGAUGAUAGGUAGGCGGCCUUAACGGGUGGUCGCCCACACUGGGAUUGAGAUACGGCCCAGACUCCUACGGGAGGCAGCAGUCGAGAAUAGUCUACAACGGACGAAAGUCUGAUAGUGCGACGCCGCGUGAAUGAAGAAACCUUUCGGGGUGUAAAAUUCUUUUCUGUGCGAGCAGGGGCCUUAUGAGUAAUAUGCAUAGGGUCUGGAUAUYAGUACAGGAAUAAGCCACGGCUAACUCCGUGCCAGCAGCCGCGGUAACACGGGGGUGGCAAGCGUUGUCCGGAAUUACUAGGCGUAAAGGGCAGGUAGGCGGAUAUAUAAGUCAGACGUUAAAGACCUCGUCUCAAGCGGGGAGCGGCGUUUGAUACUGUAUAUCUUGGAUAUGGUGGGGGAAGACGGAAUUCCAGGUGUAGCGGUGGAAUGCGCAGAUAUCUGGAGGAACACCCAAGGCGAAGGCAGUCUUCUACGCCACAAUCGACGCUAAACUGCGAAGGUGUGGGGAUCAAACAGGAUUAGAUACCCUGGUAGUCCACACAGUAAACGAUAGACACUAGGUGUUGGGGGAGAUGAAUCCUUCAGUGCCGUAGCUAACGCGUUAAGUGUCUCGCCUGGGGAGUACGAUCGCAAGGUUGAAACUCAAAGGAAUUGACGGGGGCCCGCACAAGCGGUGGAGCAUGUGGUUUAAUUCGAUGCAACGCGAAGAACCUUACCUGGGCUUGACAUCCUUCGAAUCCGGCAGAGAUGCUGGAGUGCCCUUCGGGGAACGAAGAGACAGGUGCUGCAUGGCUGUCGUCAGCUCGUGUCGUGAGAUGUUGGGUUAAGUCCCGCAACGAGCGCAACCCCUAUACUUAGUUACCAUCGGGUCAUGCCGGGAACUCUAAGUAGACUGCCGCAGUAAUAAUGUGGAGGAAGGUGGGGACGACGUCAAGUCAUCAUGGUCCUUAUGUCCAGGGCUACACACGUGCUACAAUGGCAGGUACAGAGGGAAGCGAAGCUGUAAGGUGGAGCAAAUCCCAGAAAACCUGUCCAAGUUCGGAUUGGGGUCUGCAACUCGACCCCAUGAAGUCGGAAUCGAUAGUAAUCGCGCAUCAGCAUGGCGCGGUGAAUACGUUCCCGGGCCUUGUACACACCGCCCGUCAAGUCAGCCGAGUUGACUGCACCCGAAGAAGGUGAGCUAACCCGCAAGGGAUGCAGCUUUCGAAGGUGUGGUU